UAGGACUUUGAGAAAAACAAAAAUAAAUUUAUUUUAUUAAUUAUUUAUACAAAAAAAAAAUACGUUAAAAUAUGAAUUCUAUGUAUAAAAGAGUAGUGACAAAGAUAACAAUCCCAAUAGUAAAUAUCUAAAUUUAUGCUAACAAUUCCUUCAAACACAAAAUUCUAUGCUACUUUCUAUCAAUUUAAAUCAUCGGUGGACUCACCAGAGUCCUUGCCGUUGAACUCUCUGUACUUUUUGCAGAAAUUAUUGAAUUGCACGGUCUGUGUGCGCCAGAUUCCAAAAUCAGAGACAUCCAGUCUCCUCUCAAAUUGAUCAACCAAAUUUCUCCACCAAGCCUCCUUUCUUCCCCAAAAGCUCCUCCGUUCGCGGCCUUCGGUUCUCCACCAAGCCAUCGACAUUGAUUUUAGAGAAAACAUGAUGAUGACGAACAAACAAAAUAGGAAAUCUUUUUUAUAAGGCGUUGGGCUAACACGUAUUCAACAGGUGUAAGUAAAUAUUUUAAGUUUUAAUAUAAUUUGUGUAAUUAAGUAUGUUUUUG
rnacentral:lncRNA from 1 species